rnacentral:rRNA from 1 species
UAAUAGAUACCCUGGUAGUCCACGCCGUAAACGGUGGGCGCUAGGUGUGGGGGACUUUCCACGUCCUCUGUGCCGUAGCUAACGCAUUAAGCGCCCCGCCUGGGGAGUACGGCCGCAAGGCUAAAACUCAAAGGAAUUGACGGGGGCCCGCACAAGCGGCGGAGCAUGUGGCUUAAUUCGACGCAACGCGAAGAACCUUACCAAGGCUUGACAUGCAGGGAAAUCUCGUAGAGAUACGGGGUCCGCAAGGGCUCUGCACAGGUGGUGCAUGGUUGUCGUCAGCUCGUGUCGUGAGAUGUUGGGUUAAGUCCCGCAACGAGCGCAACCCUUGUCCUAUGUUGCCAGCGAGUAAUGUCGGGGACUCAUAGGAGACUGCCGGGGUCAACUCGGAGGAAGGUGGGGAUGACGUCAAAUCAUCAUGCCCCUUAUGUCUUGGGCUGCACACAUGCUACAAUGGUCGGUACAAAGGGCUGCGAGACCGCAAGGUGGAGCGAAUCCCAAAAAGCCGGCCUCAGUUCGGAUUGGGGU